AGCUAUCCUCUUUGCAAAUCAAGUGGAUUUCAAACCAAAAUCUGAAGACUCUGUUCCCAAGAAUUCCAGAGUCUGAAGAAAACUCGACUUUCUGACUAGAAAUUGCCCACAAAUUCAAACACAGUUGUGUGUACGAUUUCUGGAGGUUUGUGGCUACUCUGAGGUUCAUCCACAAUUCUCAGGGCAAGCUUGGCCUUCCACAUCAGUAGGGAUUCUCUGUUCAUUCUUCUUGGAAAAUAUAGCAUUGAGGAUUUAAAUACACAGUCCAUUUUUCCUUAAUGAGGACCCUAGUACAUCUAUGUGACUUGAUGACAUUGGAUGGCUGAUUGCACCAGAAUUCUGGAGCUGAAGGGGGCCUCUGACAGAGGGAAUAACACAGUCCCUGGGUCGAAGAUGUGUGAGAGAGGAGGCUGGGAGAUGGCAUGAUUGCAAAUUCAAUAUCAGCUACUUCACAAUUUGCUCAAGACCUAUUGCUGGGAAUCACUACCUGAUACAUUGAGAAAAGCCUACAAACUCCUUAUUCCCCACUUAGCGUCUGAAUGUUUUAAAAUAAAUUAAAAGUAUAGAACUGGUUUGAAUUUUUCCCCUUUCUGUAGUAAGAGAAAUCUUGUGGAAAAGUUGAUUACUUCAGAGUGCAGCAG
rnacentral:lncRNA from 1 species